rnacentral:rRNA from 1 species
UGGGGAAUAUUGGACAAUGGGCGAAAGCCUGAUCCAGCCAUGCCGCGUGUGUGAAGAAGGUCUUCGGAUUGUAAAGCACUUUAAGUUGGGAGGAAGGGUUGUAGAUUAAUACUCUGCAAUUUUGACGUUACCGACAGAAUAAGCACCGGCUAACUCUGUGCCAGCAGCCGCGGUAAUACAGAGGGUGCAAGCGUUAAUCGGAAUUACUGGGCGUAAAACGCGCGUAGGUGGUUUGUUAAGUUGGAUGUGAAAUCCCCGGGCUCAACCUGGGAACUGCAUUCAAAACUGACUGACUAGAGUAUGGUAGAGGGUGGUGGAAUUUCCUGUGUAGCGGUGAAAUGCGUAGAUAUAGGAAGGAACACCAGUGGCGAAGGCGACCACCUGGACUAAUACUGACACUGAGGUGCGAAAGCGUGGGGAGCAAACA